UUAGNACGCUGGUNUUUUCCUUUNUAACACAUNCCCAGUNCGAGCGGUAGUANUAUUNUUCUUGCUUCUCNUGCCAGCGGCGGACGGGUGAGUAAUGCCUAGGAAUCUGCCUGGUAGUGGGGGAUAACGUCCGGAAACGGACGCUAAUACCGCAUACGUCCUACGGGAGAAAGCAGGGGACCUUCGGGCCUUGCGCUAUCAGAUGAGCCUAGGUCGGAUUAGCUAGUUGGUGGGGUAAUGGCUCACCAAGGCGACGAUCCGUAACUGGUCUGAGAGGAUGAUCAGUCACACUGGAACUGAGACACGGUCCAGACUCCUACGGGAGGCAGCAGUGGGGAAUAUUGGACAAUGGGCGAAAGCCUGAUCCAGCCAUGCCNCNUGUGUNAAGAAGGUCUUCGGAUUGUAAAGCACUUUAAGUUGGGAGGAAGGGCAGUAAAUUAAUACNUUUGCUGUUUUGACGUUACCGACAGAAUAAGCACCCGGCUAACUCUGUGCCAGC
rnacentral:rRNA from 1 species